rnacentral:rRNA from 1 species
AUUGAACGCUGGCGGCAGGCCUAACACAUGCAAGUCGAGCGGAUGACGGGAGCUUGCUCCUUGAUUCAGCGGCGGACGGGUGAGUAAUGCCUAGGAAUCUGCCUGGUAGUGGGGGACAACGUUUCGAAAGGAACGCUAAUACCGCAUACGUCCUACGGGAGAAAGCAGGGGACCUUCGGGCCUUGCGCUAUCAGAUGAGCCUAGGUCGGAUUAGCUAGUUGGUGGGGUAAUGGCUCACCAAGGCGACGAUCCGUAACUGGUCUGAGAGGAUGAUCAGUCACACUGGAACUGAGACACGGUCCAGAAUCCUACGGGAGGCAGCAGUGGGGAAUAUUGGACAAUGGGCGAAAGCCUGAUCCAGCCAUGCCGCGUGUGUGAAGAAGGUCUUCGGAUUGUAAAGCGCUUUAAGUUGGGAGGAAGGGCAGUAAGCUAAUACCUUGCUGUUUUGACGUUACCGACAGAAUAAGCACCGGCUAACUCUGUGCCAGCCGCCGCAGUAA